GGUCCUAUAGCUCAGUUGGUUAGAGCGUGGUGCUAAUAACGCCAAGGUCGAGGGUUCGACCCCCUUUGGGACCA
rnacentral:tRNA from 1 species